GUGAUCUUCGAAAAUUGGUGUGAAUCCGGACCUGCAGAAUGUGGCACGUUAAGUGUGGUUUCGAUGCUGAGGAUGAAACUUCAAACUUUGGCACUCGUGCUGUCACCGUGGGCCUCGAUGGUCUAUUUGAAACCAACACCAUCGCUACAAUCGAAUCUAGCCCUGAGGACGGAAGUUCAGAAUCAGAGCUUGACAUAAAAUCUGCACUCAACCCUCAAAUCGGGCUGAUGGUGACUAUUGAUAAUGCCCUCAUCAUUCUCAACAAGAAUUGCACCGAAGUAAGCGGAUGGUCUCAUUUGAAUAUCGUAUCGAUUGUUUUUUGGUCUCGCAGAAUGGAUUAUUCAUUUUUGUCGGCCUUGCAAAUGCUUCCUUCCAUUGUCUCUCAAUCAGGACCGGACAACUUGUUUUUACCAGGGAACUUGCAGAGUCGGCUGAAGAGGGCAAAUCAUUUAUAUCUAUUGUUAGUCACUCCAUCAAUUCAGAAGAGGAACUGCUUAUAUUUCUCUCCUCAGGAGCGGUUACAGGUAAAUGCUCUAUAGAGAAACCUGAAUAAGUUGGAUGUGCUUAAGACCAAAGAUUAAUGAGGACUUCAGAGUCCAGAUACUGCACGCCUUAUAGUUAG
rnacentral:lncRNA from 1 species